AUGAAUGCUGGCGGCGUGGAUAAGGCCAUGCAAGUCACGGGGGGCCGCAAGGCAACCGGCAGACGAGGGUAGUAAUAUACAGGUACGCACCGAAGAGUCGGGCAUAGCUCAUCGAAAGAUGGGGUAAUUCCCGAUAGUCCCUCCGGGGGUAAAGGAGCAAUCCGCUUUUUUGAGCGGCCUGUACUGCAUCAGCUAGUUGGUAAGGUAACGGCUUACCAAGGCAAUGACGCAUAGGGGGAGCUGAGAGGCUGACCCCCCACCGAUAGCACUGAGACACGGGCUAUACACCUACGGGUGGCUGCAGUCGAGAAUCUUCCGCAAUGGGGCGAAAGCCUGACGGAGCGACGGCCGCGUGAGUGACGAAGUCCUUCGGGACGUAAAAACUCUUUUAUGGGGGGAGGAAGUUAUUGACGUUACCCCCAUGAAUAAGGAGCUCCUAACUCUGUGCCAGCAGGAGCGGUAAUACAGAGGCUCCAAGCAUUAUCCGGAAUCACUGGGCGUAAAGGGUGUGUAGGCGGUCGUAUUAGUCCUUCGUGAAAAGCUUUUCGGGCUUAACCCGGAAAAAACGCGGGGGGAAAACGGUACGACUAUUGAGGGACGCGAGAGGUAGAGGGAAACUCAUGGUGUAGGGGGUGAAAUCCGUUGAUAUCAUGGGGAACACCAAAUGCGAAGGCACUCUACUGGGCGCGCCUUCCUGACGCUGAAACACGAAAGCGUGGGAAUCGAACGGGAUUAGAUACCCCGGUAGUCCACGCCCCUAAACGAUCACAAACUGGCUUUAGGGAGUAUCGACCCUCUCUGAGGCGAAGCUAAACGCGUUUAAGUUUGUGCGCCCUGGGUAGUACGAUCGCAAGAUUAAAAACUCAAAGGAAUAGACGGGGGACUUGCACAAGCGGUGGAUCAUGCGGCUCAAUUCGAUGACAAACGAAGAACCUCACCAGGGUUUUGAAAACCCAGACGAUUGCCUUAGGAAACUAGGGGCGUCCGCCAAGGCGGGCUGGGCAGGUGAUGCAUGGUCGUCGUCAGUUUCGUGGCUUGAGUUGUUCCCUUCAGUGGGGUAACGAAACGCAACCCGCGUUUGCCUGUUUUUAUAUGUCAGGCCGAGACUGCUCCCUCACGGGAGAGGAAGGUGCGGAUGACGCCCAGAUCAGCAUGUCCCUCUGAUAUCCUGGGCUGCACGCAUGAUACAAUGGACGCGAACAAACGAGAAGCAAUGGAGUAAUCCGGGAGCAAAUCUUUUAAAACGCGUCCCCCAGUUUCGGAUUGAGGGCUGCAAACUCGCCCUCAUGAAGCCGGAAUCGCUAGUAAUCGCGGGUCAGCUAUACCGCGGUGAAUACGUUUCUCAAGUCUUGUACUCACCGCCCGUCAAACUCAAGGGAGCCGGGGAAUACCCCGAAGCACAUCCUUGGAUGUACCACGGUUAAGUUUCGGUGACAGGGAGU
rnacentral:rRNA from 1 species